rnacentral:tRNA from 1 species
GUUUCUGUAGUGUAGUGUUUAUCACGUUUGCCUCACACGCAAAAGGUCCCUGGUUCGAAACCGGGCAGAAACA